rnacentral:rRNA from 1 species
GUCGAACGGGCUCAUAUUGAAACCUAGUGAUGUAUGAGUUAGUGGCGGACGGGUGAGUAACGCGUGGAGAACCUGCCGUAUACUGGGGGAUAACACUUAGAAAUAGGUGCUAAUACCGCAUAAGCGCACAGCUUCGCAUGAAGCAGUGUGAAAAACUCCGGUGGUAUACGAUGGAUCCGCGUCUGAUUAGCUGGUUGGCGGGGUAACGGCCCACCAAGGCGACGAUCAGUAGCCGGCCUGAGAGGGUGGACGGCCACAUUGGGACUGAGACACGGCCCAAACUCCUACGGGAGGCAGCAGUGGGGAAUAUUGCACAAUGGGGGAAACCCUGAUGCAGCGACGCCGCGUGAGUGAAGAAGUAUCUCGGUACGUAAAGCUCUAUCAGCAGGGAAGAAAAUGACGGUACCUGACUAAGAAGCCCCGGCUAACUACGUGCCAGCAGCCGCGGUAAUACGUAGGGGGCAAGCGUUAUCCGGAUUUACUGGGUGUAAAGGGAGCGUAGGCGGCCAUGCAAGUCAGAAGUGAAAACCCGGGGCUCAACCCUGGGAGUGCUUUUGAAACUGUGCGGCUAGAGUGUCGGAGGGGUAAGUGGAAUUCCUAGUGUAGCGGUGAAAUGCGUAGAUAUUAGGAGGAACACCAGUGGCGAAGGCGGCUUACUGGACGAUGACUGACGCUGAGGCUCGAAAGCGUGGGGAGCAAACAGGAUUAGAUACCCUGGUAG